AACAUACUCCCUCCGUCCGGAAAUACUUGUCUAAAAUUGGAUGUAUCUAAAACUAAAAUACAUCUAGAUACAUCCAUUUUUCCGAUAAGUAUUUCCGGACGGAGGGAGUAUAUU
rnacentral:pre_miRNA from 1 species